UUCUACAUAUAUCAUACUAAAGUGGGGACAAGUUUGGUAGCAUUGAAAGCAACAAACAUACUACUUUAUUGUCAAGUUGCAAUCUGAUCCUAACAAAAAGUCUCUUUCUUUUUUUUCCCUUUGAGAAAAAGCCCCAAUCAAUCAACCUCCUCUCCUCUCCUAUCCCCUGCAAGACAACAUUUCCAGGAGCUGCGGUUCGCUGUUGCAUUCGAGGCCGUGAGCUCUGUUAUGGUGUCCAUGACCAGAGCACUAGUGUUAAGCUUCUUGUCCAUUCACAGACAUAGAACACCAGAUGUAGGUGUGCCUAUGUUUUGAGUUCUUGGAUAAAAAUGCAGUUUACUCUUUUUUCUCUCUUUAACUGGGUGUGUUGAUGUAAUUCAGAUUUCAGCAAGUUUUGCAAGAUCCUUCUGCAUAUCAAUGUAAAAGAAUAAUGAAAUCUUUGGGUAACAA